rnacentral:rRNA from 1 species
AGUGAACGCUGGCGGUAGGCCUAACACAUGCAAGUCGAACGGCAGCACAGUAAGAGCUUGCUCUUGCGGGUGGCGAGUGGCGGACGGGUGAGGAAUACAUCGGAAUCUACUUUUUCGUGGGGGAUAACGUAGGGAAACUUACGCUAAUACCGCAUACGUCCUACGGGUGAAAGCAGGGGAUCUUCGGACCUUGCGCGAUUGAAUGAGCCGAUGUCGGAUUAGCUAGUUGGCGGGGUAAAGGCCCACCAAGGCGACGAUCCGUAGCUGGUCUGAGAGGAUGAUCAGCCACACUGGAACUGAGACACGGUCCAGACUCCUACGGGAGGCAGCAGUGGGGAAUAUUGGACAAUGGGCGCAAGCCUGAUCCAGCCAUACCGCGUGGGUGAAGAAGGCCUUCGGGUUGUAAAGCCCUUUUGUUGGGAAAGAAAAGCAGCAGGUUAAUACCCCGAUGUUCUGACGGUACCCAAAGAAUAAGCAUCGGCUAACUUCGUG